UCCCUUAUGCCUUAGUUGGUAAAGAAUCUGCCUGCAGUGCAGGAGACCUGGGUUCGAUCCCUGGGAUGGGAA
rnacentral:tRNA from 1 species